UGCAGAUAUAACGGCACUGCUGAAGUUCGUUCCAAAUACAAAUCGAACUGCAUGACAGCACAUUUUGUCGAUUAGUUCCGUUACUGGCAUAAUGAGGCUUACAUAUUGCCUUCUCAGAAGUUUUUCUAAAAGGAAUUUACUGAAAUCUGUCAGAGUUCAGGGUAUAAAUUUUGGCUUUGGAGAUGAAAACCAGAGGUUAACAAACUCGAGAAAAUGUGUUAUAGUAGAAUACAGUUCGCCAAAUAUAGCCAAACCAUUUCAUGUUGGACAUUUAAGAUCUACAAUUCUUGGAAACUUUAUAGCAAACUUAUACGAGAGGUUAGGUUGGAAGGUUGUGAGACUGAACUAUCUUGGAGACUGGGGAACACAGUUUGGUUUGUUAGCUGUUGGAUUUCAAAGAUACGGUAAUGAAGAAGAGCUACAGGCAGACCCUUUACAUCACUUGUUUCAGAUAUAUGUUAAAAUCAAUGCUGAUGUUGUUGAUGAGAAAAAGGAAGGCAAAACCAUGACACAUCAGGCGGGUAUGGAUGCAUUCAGAAAAAUGGAACAGGGUGAUCAGGAGCUCCUAAAGAUCUGGCAGAGGUUUAAAGACAUUAGUAUUGCAGAAUAUUCUAAAUUAUAUAAGAAAAAGAAAGAGGAAGAGGCUCAUCAUUCCUCAGACAUUGAAGGAUACAGUAGCCAGGGGAUGUGGUCUCAUCCUGGAUCAUCAGUAGAUUGUACCUGCCAGGUUGCCACUCACCCCAGUCCUGUAUCACAUAGACUUGGUGUGACAUUUACAGAGUACCACUCAGAGUCUAUGUACAAUAAGGAUGCUAUGUCAGUCACUGACAGAUUAAAAGAAACUGGCAUGCUUCAGACUGAUAGUGAAGGGAAAGGUUAUAUUCAGAUUGAAACAGAAAAGGGUAUACCAGACAGGGUAAAUGUGCUAAAGAGUGAUGGAACAACAUUAUACAUUACAAGAGAUAUUGCUGCAAUUUUAGACAGACAGAAGACAUUUAAUUUUGAUAAGAUACAUUAUGUGGUUGAAAAUGCUCAGCAUAUGCAUUUUUGUCAUUUAUGUGGAGUAAUGAAUAGAUUUCCUGAUUGGAAGAAUAGAUUGAAUGAGGAUAUUCACAUCAAAUUUGGUAGAAUUGAAGGAAUAAGUACGAGGAAAGGCAAUGUAGUUUUCCUAAAAGAUGUAUUAGAUGAAGCAACUACGAGGAUUAAAGCAACUAUUUUAUCAAAGAAAAGCACUAAAAUAGAAGGUGUAGAUAUUGAUGCUGUCGCUGAAGAGCUUGGUAAAAGUGCAAUAAUCAUCCAGGAUCUUGGACAACGAAGAAUAAAGAACUACAAGUUCAGUUGGGAUAGAAUAAUGUACAGCACAAAACUACAGUACUGCCAUGCUAGGCUUUGCAGUAUAGAGAGAAACAGUGGUUUGAACCUUGAAGAAGAUUUCCACGAUGAUGCAUUGACUACAAAUAACCAAGCAGGAGAAUUAAUAUCCCAUCUGAUUAAGUUUGAAGAUAUUAUUCAAGAAUCAUUUGAUACAUUGGAACCUUACUUCAUUGUACGAUACCUCGACCAGCUCUGUGAUCAUGUUAAUUCAGCAUACAGAACUUGUCAUGUGAAAAAUACAGACCCUUCCGUUGGACAGGCAUACCUUCAGAUGUUUCAUGCAAGCAAGAUAAUUUUAUCAAAUGGGAUGAUAUUACUUGGACUUCAUCCACUUGAAAGAAUGUGAAAAAACAGCACCAAGAAACAUGGCAAAACGUGUCUCUUUUUAACAUGCCAUACCUAUUUAUCUUUUAAGUACUAUACAAGUAAGAAGGCUAAAUACCUCUCCACAAAGGUAUCCAAAUUGUUAAAAUUUUUAUCAAAAUAGGGGGAAGUGGAUGGAAGCUGAAAACUUUGAUAAAAUUUUGAUGUACAUGAUUUACAUUAAUUAUUUGUAACAUAAGUCUUACGAGCAGUUAAAAUAAAUUGCAAAUUAUU
rnacentral:misc_RNA from 1 species